GGCUAAGGCUUUGGCCGAAUCUCUCUACUCCUUGCGGCCGUGGUUGGGCUUGAUGUGGCCGACGGGAUUUCUCCUCUUGUCUUGGUUAAUGGCAAUCCACUCCAUGAUUUAUAACAGGGAUGCAUUUAUUAGAUAAAAGGUCGACGCGGGCUCUGCCCGUUGCUCUGAUGAUUCAUGAUAACUCGACGGAUCACAUGGCCUUAGUGCUGGCGACGCAUCAUUCAAAUUUCUGCCCUAUCAACUUUCGAUGGUAGGAUAGUGGCCUACCAUGGUGGUAACGUGUGACGGAGAAUUAGGGUUCGAUUCCGGAGAGGGAGCCUGAGAAACGGCUACCACAUCCAAGGAAGG
rnacentral:ncRNA from 1 species